GUGGAUUUUUGUCAUAGGAAUUAAUUUUAAGAAACGCAAAUUAAUGUACGAUCGACUUUAUCUUCAUGCAGCAUGAUUUGUUUCCCCUGAAAUAAAUAACGCCGUGACGUCAUCAUCGAACGCGGAAAGUAUAGAGUGCGCUGUUUUUCGUUUGCGUCGUCUCGUGGUGUUUAAAUUUUAAAUUAUCACAGUCACUACUUUAUUAUAGAGUUUUAAGACACAAUAACAAUGGACAAAGAACAACCAGAUGACGCCAGUUCGACCCCAAUCA